rfam:Canis lupus familiaris chromosome 8, whole genome shotgun sequence.
GGGGGUAGGGCCGGAUCUUGGGCUGUGUCCCCAGCGCCCUGUGCUCUGGGGCCUGCGCUGUUGGAAUCGCGCUCCCGGCUGCGCAGCCCCCU